GAGCCCAGAACACGCACCCAGGCUGCAGGAAGUCAUUUAUCCUUACAAGAUUUUCAGCGUCUAAACCCAAGAUGUCUAGGAACAUGCGGGAUAGAUGACCGCGGCUUCAGCGCACGCCACUGCGUAGCAGCAACCCAUCCCCUAGCAACUUUUGUUUCCAUGGCAAAAGCUGUCCUGUUUACGUUGAGCUUUACUAUCCCCCACUGAUCCACAGAGAUGUAACCGGACUGGCGAGCAGGCAGGAGGUGGUUAUGUACAUUCAGAUGGCCUUGGGAAAAACAGAUGGUCAGGAAAUUACCUCUGAUUAGUAGUUGAUUUAACUCCAUGGAAAUAAAAAAAUAUCUGGAGAACUGGAGUAGAAGGGU
ensembl:lncRNA